rnacentral:rRNA from 1 species
GACGAACGCUGGCGGCGUGCUUAACACACGCAAGUCGAACGGUAAGGCCCUUCGGGGUACACGAGUGGCGAACGGGUGAGUAACACGUGGGUGAUCUGCCCUGCACUUCGGGAUAAGCCUGGGAAACUGGGUCUAAUACCGGAUAGGACCACUGCCUGCAUGGGUGGUGGUGGAAAGCUUUUGCGGUGUGGGAUGGGCCCGCGGCCUAUCAGCUUGUUGGUGGGGUGAUGGCCUACCAAGGCGACGACGGGUAGCCGGCCUGGGAGGGUGACCGGCCACACUGGGACUGAGAUACUGCCCAGACUCCUACGGGAGGCAGCAGUGGGGAAUAUUGCACAAUGGGCGCAAGCCUGAUGCAGCGACGCCGCGUGAGGGAUGACGGCCUUCGGGUUGUAAACCUCUUUCAGCACCGACGAAGCGCAAGUGACGGUAGGUGCAGAAGAAGGACCGGCCAACUACGUGCCAGCCGCCGCGGUAACAC